UAAUACGUAGGCAGCAAGCGUUGUUCGGAGUUACUGGGCGUAAAGAGUACGUAGGCGGUUUGCUAAGUCUGGUGUGAAAUCUCCUGGCUUAACUGGGAGGGUGCGCUAGAUACUGGCAGGCUUGAGUAUGGGAGAGGAGAGUGGAAUUCCUGGUGUAGCGGUGAAAUGCGUAGAUAUCAGGAGGAACGCCGGUGGUGUAGACGGCUCUCUGGACCAUUACUGACGCUGAGGUACGAAAGCGUGGGUAGCAAACAGGAUUAGAUACCCUGGUAGUCCACGCCCUAAACGAUGCGGACUUGGUGUGGGCAGUUCAGUCUGUCUGUGCCGGAGCUAACGCGUUAAGUCCGCCGCCUGGGGAGUACGGUCGCAAGGCUGAAACUUAAAUGAAUUGACGG
rnacentral:rRNA from 1 species